UAAACUCCUGUUGUUGAGGAAGAUAAUGACGGUACUCAACAAGGAAGUGACGGCUAACUACGUGCCAGCAGCCGCGGUAAAACGUAGGUCACAAGCGUUGUCCGGAAUUACUGGGUGUAAAGGGAGCGCAGGCGGGAAGACAAGUUGGAAGUGAAAUCCAUGGGCUCAACCCAUGAACUGCUUUCAAAACUGUUUUUCUUGAGUAGUGCAGAGGUAGGCGGAAUUCCCGGUGUAGCGGUGGAAUGCGUAGAUAUCGGGAGGAACACCAGUGGCGAAGGCGGCCUACUGGGCACCAACUGACGCUGAGGCUCGAAAGUGUGGGUAGCAAACAGGAUUAGAUACCCUGGUAGUCCACACUGUAAACGAUGAUUACUAGGUGUUGGAGGAUUGACCCCUUCAGUGCCGCAGUUAACACAAUAAGUAAUCCACCUGGGGAGUACGACCGCAAGGUUGAAACUCAAAGGAAUUGACGGGGGCCCGCACAAGCAGUGGAGUAUGUGGUUUAAUUCGACGCAACGCGAAGAACCUUACCAAGUCUUGACAUCCUGCGACGAUGCUGGAAACAGUAUUUUCCUUCGGGACGCAGAGACAGGUGGUGCAUGGUUGUCGUCAGCUCGUGUCGUGAGAUGUUGGGUUAAGUCCCGCAACGAGCGCAACCCUUAUGGUCAGUUACUACGCAAGAGGACUCUGGCCAGACUGCCGUUGACAAA
rnacentral:rRNA from 1 species